rnacentral:tRNA from 1 species
GCACCAGUAGCUCAGCGUGAGAGCGCCAGUCUUGUAAACUGGCCGUCGAGGGUUAAAAUCCCUCCUGUUGCU